ACAACAACAUUCGGACCGUCGGUCUACCGAGCAAUAUCACCCGCUUGGUGGAAGAUCUUCCCUUUGUCGUUAAGA
rnacentral:pre_miRNA from 1 species